rnacentral:rRNA from 1 species
AUUGAACGCUGGCGGCAUGCCUUACAUAUGCAAGUCGAACGGCAGCACGGGAGCAAUCCUGGUGGCGAGUGGCGAACGGGUGAGUAAUAUAUCGGAACGUGCCCAGUCGUGGGGAUAACGUAGCGAAAGCUACGCUAAUACCGCAUACUAUCUAUGGAUGAAAGCGGGGGAUCGCAAGACCUCGCGCGAUUGGAGCGGCCGAUAUCAGAUUAGGUAGUUGGUGAGGUAAAGGCUCACCAAGCCGACGAUCUGUAGCU